rnacentral:misc_RNA from 1 species
AACUUUUAGCAAGGGAUCACUUGGUUCUGGCAUCGAUGAAGAACGCAGCGAAAUGCGAUAAGUAAUGUGAAUUGCAGAAUUCAGUGAAUCAUCGAAUCUUUGAACGCACAUUGCGCCCGCCAGUAUUCUGGCGGGCAUGCCUGUUCGAGCGUCAUUUCAACCCUCAAGCCCCCGGGCUUGGUGUUGGAGAUCGGCGUGCCCCCCGGGGCGCGCCGGCUCCCAAAUAUAGUGGCGGUCUCGCUGAACUUUCCUCGGCGUAGUAGCACACCCCCCACUGGAAAACGGCGUGGCACCGCCGUAAACCCCCCACUUCUGAAAGGUUGACCUCGGAUCAGGUAGGAAUACCCGCUGAACUUAAGCAUAUCAAUAAGCGGAGGCU